AUAUCUCUCCGUACGGGAAGGAUGAGAAGCUUCGACCAAGGUUCGAUUCGAGCGCAGCGAGAAAGCGUUGCCGCAGGCAACGACCCGAAGGGCGAAGCGCGCAGCGCGCAGCGCGCAGCGCUGAGUCAUCCUUCCCCCACCACCA
rnacentral:sRNA from 1 species